rnacentral:rRNA from 1 species
UUGGAGGGCAAGUCUGGUGCCAGCAGCCGCGGUAAUUCCAGCUCCAAUAGCGUAUAUUAAAGUUGUUGCAGUUAAAAAGCUCGUAGUUGAAUUUCGGGGUUCUACCGUUGGUCGGGCUUUGUCUGUACUGGCGUGUAGAAUUUCUACCUUCUGGGGAACCAUCAUGUUAUUAAUUUAACGUGGUGGGAAACCAGGACCUUUACCUUGAAAAAAUUAGAGUGUUCAAAGCAGGCUUAUGCCUGAAUACAUUAGCAUGGAAUAAUAGAAUAGGACGGUGGUCCUGUUUUGUUGGUUUCUGAAUCACCGUAAUGAUUAAUAGGGAUAGUUGGGGGCAUUAGUAUUCAAUUGUCAGAGGUGAAAUUCUUGGAUUUAUUGAAGACUAACUUCUGCGAAAGCAUUUGCCAAGAAUGUUUUCAUUAAUCAAGAACGAAAGUUAGGGGAUCGAAGACGAUCAGAUACCGUCGUAGUCUUAACCAUAAACUAUGCCGACUAGGGAUCGGACGAUGUUAAUUUUUCUUGACUCGUUCGGCGCCUUACGGG